CAGCCGCCGCGGUAAAACGUAGGGUGCGAGCGUUAAUCGGAAUUACUGGGCGUAAGGCGCACGUAGGCGGAUCGAUCAGUCAGGGGUGAAAUCCCAGAGCUCAACUCUGGAACUGCCUUUGAUACUGUCGAUCUGGAGUAUGGAAGAGGUGAGUGGAAUUCCGAGUGUAGAGGUGAAAUUCGUAGAUAUUCGGAGGAACACCAGUGGCGAAGGCGGCUCACUGGUCCAUUACUGACGCUGAGGUGCGAAAGCGUGGGGAGCAAACAGGAUUAGAUACCCCUGUAGUCCCUGUCUCUUAUAC
rnacentral:rRNA from 1 species